GACGAACGCUGGCGGCGUGCUUAACACAUGCAAGUCGAACGAAGUGUCGCACGGGUGAGUAACGCGUAAUCAACCUGCCCUUCAGAGGGGGACAACAGUUGGAAACGACUGCUAAUUCCGCAUACUGAAGGUGGGGAUUUCGUCUGAUUAGCUAGUUGGAGGGGUAACGGCCCACCAAGGCGAUGAUUAGUAGCCGGUCUGAGAGGAUGAACGGCCACAUUGGGACUGAGACACGGCCCAGACUCCUACGGGAGGCAGCAGUGGGGAAUCUUCCGCAAUGGAGGAAAGUCUGACGGAGCAACGCCGCGUGAGUGAUGACGGCCUUCGGGUUGGAAAGCUCUGUUAAUCGGGACGCGGUACCGGAAUAGAAAGCCACGGCUAACUACGUGCCAGCAGCCGCGGUAAUUC
rnacentral:rRNA from 1 species